AUUGAACGCUGGCGGCAGGGUUAACACAUGCAACUCGAGCGGGGGAAGGUAGCUUGCUAACGGACCUAGCGGCGGACGGGUGAGUAAUGCUUAGGAAUCUGCCUAGUAGUGGGGGACAACAUCCCGAAAGGGAUGCUAAUACCGCCUACGUCAUACGGGCGACAGCAGGGGAUCUUCGGACCCUGCGCAAAUAGAUGAGCGUAAGUCGGAUUAGCUAGUUGGUGGGGUAAAGGCCUACCAAGGCGAGGAUCUGUAGCGGGUCUGAGAGGAUGAUCCGCCCCCCUGGGACUGAGACACGGCCCAGACUCCUACGGGAGGCAGCAGUGGGGAAUAUUGGACAAUGGGGGGAACCCUGAUCCAGCCAUGCCGCGUGUGGGAAGAAGGCCUUAUGGUUAUAAAGCACUUUAAGCGAGGAGGAGGCUACUUUAGUUAAUACCUAGAGAUAGUGGACGUUACUCGCAGAAUAAGCACCGGCUAACUCUGUGCCAGCCGCCGCCGUAA
rnacentral:rRNA from 1 species